GACCUCGUGGCGCAAUGGUAGCGCGUUUGACUCCAGAUCAGAAGGUUGUGUGUUCAAAUCACGUCGGGGUCA